rnacentral:rRNA from 1 species
AUUGAACGCUGGCGGCAUGCUUUACACAUGCAAGUCGAACGGUAACAGGUUAAGCUGACGAGUGGCGAACGGGUGAGUAAUGCAUCGGAACGUGCCCGGUCGUGGGGGAUAACGCAGCGAAAGCUGCGCUAAUACCGCAUACGAUCUAAGGAUGAAAGCGGGGGACCGUAAGGCCUCGCGCGAUCGGAGCGGCCGAUGUCAGAUUAGGUAGUUGGUGGGGUAAAGGCUCACCAAGCCAACGAUCUGUAGCUGGUCUGAGAGGACGACCAGCCACACUGGGACCGAGAUACGGCCCAGACUCCUACGGGAGGCAGCAGUGGGGAAUUUUGGACAAUGGGCGAAAGCCUGAUCCAGCAAUGCCGCGUGCAGGAAGAAGGCCUUCGGGUUGUAAACUGCUUUUGUACGGAGCGAAAAGGUCUCCUCUAAUACAGGGGGCUCAUGACGGUACCGUAAGAAUAAGCACCGGCUAACUACGUGCCAGCCGCCGCAGUAA